AGAGUUUGAUCAUGGCUCAGGAUGAACGCUAGCGGCAGGCCUAAUACAUGCAAGUCGAACGCUCAGUUAGCAAUACUGGGAGUGGCGCACGGGUGCGUAACGCGUACACAAUCUACCUCUAAGCGGGGGACACCUCCUGGAAACGGGGAUUAAUACCGCAUAAUAUGCCGAGGUCGCAUGACUUUGGUAUUAAAGCAGCAAUGCACUUAGAGAUGAGUGUGCGUCCCAUUAGGUAGUUGGUGAGGUAACGGCUCACCAAGCCUAUGAUGGGUAGCCGGUCUGAGAGGAUGGUCGGCCACACGGGCACUGAGACACGGGCCCGACUCCUACGGGAGGCAGCAGUAAGGAAUAUUGGUCAAUGGUGGAAACACUGAACCAGCCAUGCCGCGUGGAGGAAUAAGGUCCUACGGAUUGUAAACUCCUUUUGACGAGGAAGAAAGUGUUAGAUUUAUCUAAUUUUGACGGUACUCGUAGAAUAAGCACCGGCUAACUCCGUG
rnacentral:rRNA from 1 species